GGUGAGAUGGUGAUGGUGACAUGUAGGACAGGGUAGGCUCUGGCAGCUUGUGAUGAGACAUCUCCCACUCAU
rnacentral:miRNA from 1 species